rnacentral:rRNA from 1 species
UACGUAGGGGGCAAGCGUUGUCCGGAUUUAUUGGGCGUAAAGCGCGUGUAGGCGGCCAGGUAGGUCGGCUGUGAAAACUCGAGGCUCAACCUCGAGACGCCGGUGGAAACCAUCUAGCUAGAGACCGGAAGAGGAGAGUGGAAUUCCUGGUGUAGCGGUGAAAUGCGCAGAUAUCAGGAGGAACACCAAUGGCGAAGGCAGCACUCUGGGACGUGACUGACGCUGAGACGCGAAAGCGUGGGGAGCAAACAGG